rnacentral:rRNA from 1 species
AGCCUGAACAGGUGCUGCAUGGCUGUCGUCAGCUCGUGUCGUGAGAUGUUCGGUUAAGUCCGCUAACGAGCGCAACCCUCGCUGUGUGUUACAAGUGUCACACGGUACUGCCGGUCUAAAAACCGGGAGGAAGGUGGGGAUGACGUCAAGUCAGCAUGGCCUUUAUAUCCUGGGCUACACACACGCUACAAUGGCCGGUACAGUAGGUAGCGAAGCCGCGAGGUGGAGCCAAUCCACAAAGCCGGUCUCAGUUCAGAUUGCAGGCUGCAACCCGCCUGCAUGAAGAUGGAGUUGCUAGUAACCGCAGGUCAGCUAUACUGCGGUGAAUACGUUCCCGGGGCUU